GAUGAAUGCUGGCGGCGUGCCUAACACAUGCAAGUCGAGCGGCAGCGCGAGUAGUUUACUACUUGGCGGCGAGCGGCGGACGGCUGAGUAACGCGUGGGAACGUGCCCCAAAGUGAGGAAUAACUGCCCGUAAGGGUGGCUAAUACCGCAUAUGAUCUUCGGAUUAAAGUCUUCGGACGCUUUGGGAGCGGCCCGCGUCGGAGUAGGUUGUUGGUGAGGUAAUGGCUCACCACGCCGACGAUCCGUAGCUGGUCUGAGAGGAUGAUCAGCCAGACUGGGACUGAGACACGGCCCAGACUCCUACGGGAGGCAGCAGUGAGGAAUCUUCCACAAUGGGCGAAAGCCUGAUGGAGCAACGCCGCGUGCAGGAUGAAGGCCUUCGGGUCGUAAACUGCUUUUAUGAGUGAAGAAUAUGACGGUAACUCAUGAAUAAGCACCGGCUAACUACGUGCCAGCAGCCGCGGUAA
rnacentral:rRNA from 1 species